rnacentral:rRNA from 1 species
GACGAACGCUGGCGGCGUGCUUAACACAUGCAAGUCGAACGAUGAAGCCUAGCUUGCUAGGUGGAUUAGUGGCGAACGGGUGAGUAAUACGUGAGUAACCUACCUUUAACUCUGGGAUAAGCCCGGGAAACUGGGUCUAAUACCGGAUACGACCAAUCUCCGCAUGGGGUGUUGGUGGAAAGCGUUAUGUAGUGGUUAUAGAUGGGCUCACGGCCUAUCAGCUUGUUGGUGAGGUAACGGCUCACCAAGGCGACGACGGGUAGCCGGCCUGAGAGGGUGACCGGCCACACUGGGACUGAGACACGGCCCAGACUCCUACGGGAGGCAGCAGUGGGGAAUAUUGCACAAUGGGCGCAAGCCUGAUGCAGCGACGCCGCGUGAGGGAUGACGGCCUUCGGGUUGUAAACCUCUGUUAGCAGGGAAGAAGAGAGGUUGACGGUACCUGCAGAGAAAGCGCCGGCUAACUACGUG